rnacentral:rRNA from 1 species
AUGAAUUGCUUGGCUUGGAACUGUCGGGGGGUGGCCAAUGACCCGACAGUUCGAGAUUUGGUUGGCUUGGUCAAAUCAGCCAAUGCCAAGUUGGUGUUCUUGUGUGAAACGCGUCAAAAAGCAAAUAAAGUUCGUCGUCUUCGUGGUAGACUAGGCUUAGGAGGUUUUGCUGGGUGUGAUAGUAAUGGUCUUAGUGGUGGUUUGGCGCUUUUU